rnacentral:rRNA from 1 species
AUUGAACGCUGGCGGCAUGCCUUACACAUGCAAGUCGAACGGCAGCACGGGUGCUUGCACCUGGUGGCGAGUGGCGAACGGGUGAGUAAUACAUCGGAACGUACCUUAUCGUGGGGGAUAACGCAGCGAAAGCUGUGCUAAUACCGCAUACGCCCUGUGGGGGAAAGCGGGGGAUCGCAAGACCUCGCGCGAUUAGAGCGGCCGAUGCCUGAUUAGCUUGUUGGUGGGGUAAAAGCCCACCAAGGCGACGAUCAGUAGCUGGUCUGAGAGGACGAUCAGCCACACGGGGACUGAGACACGGCCCAGACUCCUACGGGAGGCAGCAGUGGGGAAUUUUGGACAAGGGGGGCAACCCUGAUCCAGCAAUGCCGCGUGAGUGAAGAAGGCCUUCGGGUUGUAAAGCUCUUUUGUCAGGGAAGGAACACCGGCUCUAACACAGUCCGGGAAUGACGGUACCUGAAGAAUAAGCACCGGCUAACUACGUGCCAGCAGCCGCCGUAA